GAUGAACGCUGGCGGCGUGCCUAAUACAUGCAAGUCGAGCGAAUGGAUUAAGAGCUUGCUCUUAUGAAGUUAGCGGCGGACGGGUGAGUAACACGUGGGUAACCUGCCCAUAAGACUGGGAUAACUCCGGGAAACCGGGGCUAAUACCGGAUAACAUUUUGAACCGCAUGGUUCGAAAUUGAAAGGCGGCUUCGGCUGUCACUUAUGGAUGGACCCGCGUCGCAUUAGCUAGUUGGUGAGGUAACGGCUCACCAAGGCAACGAUGCGUAGCCGACCUUGGAGGGUGAUCGGCCACACUGGGACUGGGACACGGCCCAGACUCCUACGGGAGGCAGCAGUAGGGAAUCUUCCGCAAUGGACGAAAGUCUGACGGAGCAACGCCGCGUGAGUGACGAAGGCUUUCGGGUCGUAAAACUCUGUUGUUAGGGAAGAACAAGUGCUAGUUGAAUAAGCUGGCACCUUGACGGUACCUAACCAGAAAGCCACGGCUAACUACGUGCCAGCCGCCGCGGUAA
rnacentral:rRNA from 1 species